rnacentral:rRNA from 1 species
UACGUAGGUGGCAAGCGUUAUCCGGAUUUAUUGGGCGUAAAGGGAACGCAGGCGGUCUUUUAAGUCUGAUGUGAAAGCUUUCGGCUUAACCGGAGUAGUGCAUUGGAAACUGGGAGACUUGAGUGCAGAAGAGGAGAGUGGAACUCCAUGUGUAGCGGUGAAAUGCGUAGAUAUAUGGAAGAACGCCAGUGGCGAAAGCGGCUCUCUGGUCUGUAACUGACGCUGAGGUUCGAAAGCGUGGGUAGCAAACAGG